rnacentral:rRNA from 1 species
GGUUAAGCGACUAAGCGUACACGGUGGAUGCCCUGGCAGUCAGAGGCGAUGAAGGACGUGCUAAUCUGCGAAAAGCGUCGGUAAGGUGAUAUGAACCGUUAUAACCGGCGAUGUCCGAAUGGGGAAACCCAGUGUGAUUCGUCACACUAUCGUUAACUGAAUACAUAGGUUAACGAGGCGAACCGGGGGAACUGAAACAUCUAAGUACCCCGAGGAAAAGAAAUCAACCGAGAUUCCCCCAGUAGCGGCGAGCGAACGGGGAGCAGCCCAGAGUCUGAAUCAGCUUGUGUGUUAGUGGAACGGUCUGGAAAGUCCGACGGUACAGGGUGAUAGUCCCGUACACCAAAAUGCACAGGUUGUGAACUCGAAGAGUAGGGCGGGACACGUGGUAUCCUGUCUGAAUAUGGGGGGACCAUCCUCCAAGGCUAAAUACUCCUGACUGACCGAUAGUGAACCAGUACCGUGAGGGAAAGGCGAAAAGAACCCCGGCGAGGGGAGUGAAAAAGAACCUGAAACCGUGUACGUACAAGCAGUGGGAGCACCUUCGGGUGUGACUGCGUACCUUUUGUAUAAUGGGUCAGCGACUUAUAUUCUGUAGCAAGGUUAACCGUAUAGGGGAGCCGCAGGGAAACCGAGUCUUAACUGGGCGUUAAGUUGCAGGGUAUAGACCCGAAACCCGGUGAUCUAGCCAUGGGCAGGUUGAAGGUUGGGUAACACUAACUGGAGGACCGAACCGACUAAUGUUGAAAAAUUAGCGGAUGACUUGUGGCUGGGGGUGAAAGGCCAAUCAAACCGGGAGAUAGCUGGUUCUCCCCGAAAGCUAUUUAGGUAGCGCCUCGUGAAUUCAUCUUCGGGGGUAGAGCACUGUUUCGGCUAGGGGGUCAUCCCGACUUACCAACCCGAUGCAAACUACGAAUACCGAAGAAUGUUAUCACGGGAGACACACGGCGGGUGCUAACGUCCGUCGUGAAGAGGGAAACAACCCAGACCGCCAGCUAAGGUCCCAAAGUCAUGGUUAAGUGGGAAACGAUGUGGGAAGGCACAGACAGCCAGGAUGUUGGCUUAGAAGCAGCCAUCAUUUAAAGAAAGCGUAAUAGCUCACUGGUCGAGUCGGCCUGCGCGGAAGAUGUAACGGGGCUAAACCAUGCACCGAAGCUGCGGCAGCGACACUAUGUGUUGUUGGGUAGGGGAGCGUUCUGUAAGCCUGUGAAGGUGUGCUGUGAGGCAUGCUGGAGGUAUCAGAAGUGCGAAUGCUGACAUAAGUAACGAUAAAGCGGGUGAAAAGCCCGCUCGCCGGAAGACCAAGGGUUCCUGUCCAACGUUAAUCGGGGCAGGGUGAGUCGACCCCUAAGGCGAGGCCGAAAGGCGUAGUCGAUGGGAAACAGGUUAAUAUUCCUGUACUUGGUGUUACUGCGAAGGGGGGACGGAGAAGGCUAUGUUAGCCGGGCGACGGUUGUCCCGGUUUAAGCAUGUAGGCUGGUUAUCCAGGCAAAUCCGGAUAAUCAAGGCUGAGGUGUGAUGACGAGGUACUACGGUGCUGAAGUAACAAAUGCCCUGCUUCCAGGAAAAGCCUCUAAGCAUCAGGUAACAUCAAAUCGUACCCCAAACCGACACAGGUGGUCAGGUAGAGAAUACCAAGGCGCUUGAGAGAACUCGGGUGAAGGAACUAGGCAAAAUGGUGCCGUAACUUCGGGAGAAGGCACGCUGGUGUGUAGGUGAAGUCCCUGCGGAUGGAGCUGAGACCAGUCGAAGAUACCAGCUGGCUGCAACUGUUUAUUAAAAACACAGCACUGUGCAAACACGAAAGUGGACGUAUACGGUGUGACGCCUGCCCGGUGCCGGAAGGUUAAUUGAUGGGGUUAUCCGUAAGGAGAAGCUCUUGAUCGAAGCCCCGGUAAACGGCGGCCGUAACUAUAACGGUCCUAAGGUAGCGAAAUUCCUUGUCGGGUAAGUUCCGACCUGCACGAAUGGCGUAAUGAUGGCCAGGCUGUCUCCACCCGAGACUCAGUGAAAUUGAACUCGCUGUGAAGAUGCAGUGUACCCGCGGCAAGACGGAAAGACCCCGUGAACCUUUACUAUAGCUUGACACUGAACAUUGAGCCUUGAUGUGUAGGAUAGGUGGGAGGCUUUGAAGCGUGGACGCCAGUCUGCGUGGAGCCAACCUUGAAAUACCACCCUUUAAUGUUUGAUGUUCUAACGUUGGCCCCUGACCGGGGUUGCGGACAGUGUCUGGUGGGUAGUUUGACUGGGGCGGUCUCCUCCCAAAGCGUAACGGAGGAGCACGAAGGUUAGCUAAUCCUGGUCGGACAUCAGGAGGUUAGUGCAAUGGCAUAAGCUAGCUUGACUGCGAGCGUGACGGCGCGAGCAGGUGCGAAAGCAGGUCAUAGUGAUCCGGUGGUUCUGAAUGGAAGGGCCAUCGCUCAACGGAUAAAAGGUACUCCGGGGAUAACAGGCUGAUACCGCCCAAGAGUUCAUAUCGACGGCGGUGUUUGGCACCUCGAUGUCGGCUCAUCACAUCCUGGGGCUGAAGUAGGUCCCAAGGGUAUGGCUGUUCGCCAUUUAAAGUGGUACGCGAGCUGGGUUUAGAACGUCGUGAGACAGUUCGGUCCCUAUCUGCCGUGGGCGCUGGAGAAUUGAGGGGGGCUGCUCCUAGUACGAGAGGACCGGAGUGGACGCAUCACUGGUGUUCGGGUUGUCAUGCCAAUGGCACUGCCCGGUAGCUAAAUGCGGAAGAGAUAAGUGCUGAAAGCAUCUAAGCACGAAACUUGCCCCGAGAUGAGUUCUCCCUGAGACUUUAAGUCUCCUGAAGGAACGUUGAAGACGACGACGUUGAUAGGCCGGGUGUGUAAGCGCAGCGAUGCGUUGAGCUAACCGGUACUAAUGAACCGUGAGGCUUAACCUU